rnacentral:rRNA from 1 species
GAUGAACGCUGGCGGCGUGCCUAAUACAUGCAAGUCGAGCGAACAGACGAGGAGCUUGCUCCUCUGACGUUAGCGGCGGACGGGUGAGUCACACGUGGAUAACCUCCCUAUAAGACUGGGAUAACUUCGGGAAACCGGCGCUAAUACCGGAUAAUAUAUUGAACCGCAUGGUUCAAUAGUGAAAGACGGUUUUGCUGUCACUUAUAGAUGGAUCCGCGCCGCAUUAGCUAGUUGUUAAGGUAACGGCUUACCAAGGCGACGAUGCGUAGCCGACCUGAGAGGGUGAUCGGCCACACUGGAACUGAGACACGGUCCAGACUCCUACGGGAGGCAGCAGUAGAGAAUCCUACGCAAUGGGCGAAAGCCUGACGGAGCAACGCCGCGUGAGUGAUGAAGGUCUUAGGAUCGUAAAACUCUGUUAUUAGGGAAGAACAAAUGUGUAAGUAACUAUGCACGUCUUGACGGUACCUAAUCAGAAAGCCACGGCUAACUACGUG